rnacentral:lncRNA from 1 species
AAACAGCCAAAAAGGCAAAAACUCUCACCGAGGGAUUGGGUUGGGUUUCUGGCAUGGCGGUGCCGCUGAGCUACGUUGCCUAGUUCUUCUUCCUUUGGUGCUUCUCUCCCUCAGUUAGGACGGAAUCGGUACAGUGACAAUGGAAUUGAGCCUAAAACAUGGUUAUGAAGCAUUUUAUAGAAUAAAAAGAGAAAUCUUUACUUUAUCGGUGUUGAUUUGGCUUCUGACACAAUGUCGCAACUGGCUACACCACUUGUUUUCUCGGGUUACGACUUUUCUUGGGUUUUUCUACAUCAAGGAUAGUUUUAAAUGGUCUAGAACGAAAAAUUUGGACUAAUAGGGGGAAAAAUUGCACUUACCGGCGUCCUUUUUGGCUUCCAGCACGACGGUGUUGUCGCUCUUCCGAUGUCUAAGCUCCCUCCAGCACCCCCUGCUUCUUUUUCUCCGGUUGACUUGGCGACU